AACUGCAAGUUUUCAAGAGCAAGUUGACAAAAUAUUCUUUCCCUUCACUACCCUUGACAUUGUAUUCAAGCUGGAAUGUGUUUAGCUCUGUCACUUUUAGUUUCUCAGCUUCAACCCAUAAAUCAUGCAAGUAGUUCUCCACUAAAGGCACCAACUUAUUCUCAUUAGAUCCUGACGCGGCUUCUUUCCGAUGUUCAUUAAACCAAACAGAAAUCUUGGACAUGAUCGCAUCAAGCAUGGGUAUUAAAGAAUACUUCCUUGCAUUGAGGAAAACAGAAUUCAAAGAUUCCACACAGUUGCUUGUGUCCAAAUUGUAUC
rnacentral:lncRNA from 1 species